CCCAGAGCCACUAGGGCCCUGCUUCUUGGGGUGCGAGGAGCUCGGAACAGACUGCCCUCCCUCCAGGGCUGGCAGGACAGGCCUGGGCAAGAACAUAGGUUUGUCCUGGACCGUGCUGAGUGUGUGGCCAGCUGCAGCCGGGGCAGGGGCAGGAGCAGGGCUGCCAGGGCCGAGAACGAUCCCCGUGCUGUGUGCAGAGCUCUCUCCUUUGCCCUCUGAGGACACGCGUCACUGGACUUCGUGACUGCUCCACCCUAUUCCAGAAGGACCUCAUUUCAAAACUUGAACUUCAGUCACAUCUGCGAAGACCCUUUUUCCAAAUAAGGCCACCAGCAUUCACAGGUUCCCCAGGAGGACAUGUCUUUUGGGGGAAGGGGUGUCUCCGGAAGGUCACGUGGCUGCUGGGACAGCACUGGCCCUUUCUGUGGCUGUUGCCUCCUCUGUGAAAUGGGCCUGGUGUGUUCGAGCCCGGAAUAUAUUGCCCAGACAUCAGUCUCACAGACCACUGCGCUUCAGGAAGGAGAACUUGGAAAGAAGACCAAAGACACCACCGGAACAAAGGAGCCGGGUCCCCUCCUGCCUACCUGCCAGGUGCAUAUACAGCUGGAGGCACAAGUGGAAAUCUUGGUCAGGCUGUGGACUGUUAGUUCAUUAGAGAACCGUGUGUGACAGUAUCCUUCCUGCUGGAAAGUCACCAGCCCGUCUCACAGGGCCAGGCAGGGACGGGCCCUGGGGCUGCUGUGUCCCAACAUGUGGCCUUGGACCACAGGUCACCAUGGGGGCCCAAGAAGGGGAACCACCUUGGUGGUCCAGGGAACACCGCAGAGUGACGAGGCGGGGAAAGACCCUGAGAACUGUCCCCAGCACAGGGCUGUGGCUGCCCUGGCCUCUGUCCAUGCGUCUGACGAAGGGCACCGGGAGGUGAAGGCCGCGGGAAAACAAGCCCCGCUCCCGUCCUUUGAUUCUGUCCCAGCACACGGCACCGGCAGAGCCCCAGCUUCCCCAGCCUGUCAUCCUCCCGAGGCCGACGGCACAGAAGAAUGGCAGGCCCAGGACACACUGAGCUCCCAGAGCAAGCGGCGGGUCAAGCAUCCUUUAUCAACUGCGAGGUCUUCGAGGCCCAAAAGAGGUGCCCUGAGUCGCGAAGUACCCACCCUUGGGGCAGCCAACGCCGCAGCCCUGGCUCCAGGCCCAGGUUGUCCGGAGUGGAGCCACACUCGAGCCUGGCACCAAUCUGGGAGCUCCUGAGCGCAAUGUCCUGUCUGUCCCUGCAUGACCCUGAGACUGUCUGAGAUGCCUCACAGAGAGAUGCCCUGGAGUCCCCCACAGGCAGGCCAGCCUGGAAGCUUCUCUGGAAAGUGAGCUUUGGCAGCUCGAGGCCGAGCUGUGGCCGACUCCUCCCUUGGUUAACACAGCCUGUACCCAGCUGGGAUUCACUUUGAGGCCCUGGGGCUUGCCCUAUUUCCUGCCAGGAGAGCGGGGCCCGAAGCUCCAUCCUGUCCCCCAAAACUCAGACGUGGAAGCCCUAACCCCGGUGUGGCUGUACGUGGACAUGGGGCCUCUACAGAUUAAGGGUAAGUGGGGUCCUCAGGGUGGGGCCUGAUCUGACAGGAUCCUUGUCCACACAAGAGGAGGCCCCAGACAGCUCACUCUCCCACAAGGAAACACAGCGAGGGGGUGUCUAGGAGCCAGGAGGCCGAGCACCCCGCCCAGGGCAUCAGGGUCCCUGGCCUGGCGGGGCCUCUCACCGACUCUCCCGCCGGCAUCCAGGUAGCAGGGCCCUGGCACCAGACCCUCUGAAGCUGAGACCCACCCACCCAGGCCUGCUCCGCUCUUGCUGUCACCCCCGGAGAAAGCGGCAGUCAGGGCGUGAGGUGAGGAAAAGGGGCUGUUGGACCCUGCAUGGCAGUGGCUCCCGUGCCGGGGACGCGGUGAGCCUGGCCUCCUCCCUGCAAGGGAGGACAGCCCAUUUCCCAGGGGAAGACACCGAGGCUCAGACACCCUGGCCGGGGGGCGGCAAAACUAGAAUCCCAAGGCAGCUGCACAUCUAGCACCUGCCCUUGCCCUCUCUCCGGGAGGGCACCCUAGAAGCCCACAGUCCUGAUCUGGGGUUCGGAGAGCAGGCUGGGCUGAGCUCUGCUGGGAGCGCCUAGAAGCCCAGCUAUGGGUCCACGCACACACUCAGGUGAAGCCAGGCCCAGAAGAAGGAACAGCUCUAAGCCACAGCCCAGGGGGGCUUCUCAGUCCACGAGGCGACCCCUCCACACCCCAGAGCCACAGACAGCCAAGGUGUGGGUGAAACGUUUUUCUCACCAGAACAGCCCAGCAGCUGGGCAUGUGCUGUGACCACUGAGGGGGCCUUUGUCAGAAACAUCGUCUGGGGGCUGGACGCCCCCACCCACAGGAAGAGGAGACCAAGACAGGGCCGCACACCCCCAGCCAGAUGAGGGCCAGAUGAGGGAGGCGGCACCUCUUCCUCCAGGAAGCUCCUCAGGAGGGACAUCGGGAGGGGCUCAGGGGGCUGCCUUCAAGGAAGCUCAGUGAAGCUCAGAGACCAGUCUGAAAAGGAAUGUCCUCCAGACCUCCACCCUCUCAGGAUGGACGUGUUACUCAGGAACUGUCCCGUCAGCUUUUCCCGUAACACAUGACACCCCACGUGAACCUCCCAAGAGCAGAUGGGCCCAGUGCUGUCCACCCGAACGCACCUUGGGAACAGAGGUGUGGGCCUCCCCCCAGCAGCGCAUGACCCUGCACACUGCACCCAGGGUCACAGUGGGGGUGGGGAGGGACCUGCCCACUGCUCACGGCUGUGGGACCUGGGGCAGGGCACCCCACUUCUCUGAGUCUAAGGGGCCCUACUAGCUGAAGAACCAAAGGAAAACCAUCAUUUCAAAACUGUCACGUGACACACAAAUGCAGGCCCCUGCCCCACAGCCCAGUGGCACACACGUAUUUACCGCCUGGGACACGGGACCGUCCAGAAGUGCCCUACUCAUAGGUGUAGGUCACAUCCAGGGGUCUCGGCCACCGGGACCCAGGGCCCAGCAGCUCAGCAAAGCCAUUCAGCCGGGGUCUGAGCCCUGCCCAGGGGAAGCAUUUUCCCCUCCUGGGGUGAAGGACAGCAAGAGGCACGCCGCCCUGGCAGGCUGCGGCUUUCUUUCCUUUUUGUGGACAGAGUGAAAGGGCAAAUUUGCUCCAGGGGAAUACUGACCUCCAACAGUACAAUGUGGGAGGAGAAGGAAAAGAAAGUUUUUAUGCAACCUUUUUUUUAAAUCUGCCCAACUAUCCAAUCUGUAACUGUUCAAGGAGAGAUUAGUUUGUUCUGCCGCUGACGGCUGCAGCCCAAGCAAAGCACAAAGCGCCCCAUUGUGUCCUCCAGGAGGGACGUGCUGCUGCUGCUGGGCUGGGACGGCAGAGCCUGUGCCCUCGCUCCCACCCUCCGCCCUGCAGGCGAAGGCCCAGCCACCCUCUCCUUAGGCAACAGCCUGCGAGUGGACUCAUGGGACGGUGGGUCAGAUCUGAACCCUCAUGAGUACUGUCUCCCUUUCGAAAAGGCUGGGACUAACUGUAGAACCUCAUGUGACACCUAAGCCUGCGUGUCCCCAUGCCCCAGCCUAGGGGCAGCCAUGACUCCCCCAAGACGCGGAGGAGGCAAGGGCUCCCGACCACUCAGGCCCCUGCAGAGUCGCCCCUGUCACUCAGCCAGCUGCCCCUCCCAGCCCGCAUCUCAGGAAAGGCCCAACCCCUCAGAAGGGCUUUUCUGGUCUGCACCAGGGCCCCGCUUAUUCCCCACUGCGACUCUCCCAUUCACGUGCCUAUGGCUCUCAGGUCCCCCCAUGAGCUCUGGAUGCGGGGCCAUGUUCUCAUUGGGACCCGGCAUAGAUGCGGCACACGGGACAGAAGAUGGUUCUGCGGAUGGCCAACUGGGAAGGGGUGAUUACAAACUUCCCUGACGAGGAGGAAACAGGUCAGCCAAGGCCUACAGGACCCUAGGGCCAGUGCCUUUCCAUAGCACAGGGCCCACCUGGGGGCCAAGGGCAGCAAGGAGGAGCCUUUUCAGCCCCAAUGGAGCAGGGCACCCAGGGUGCGGGACAGGCAGGAACAGGUGCGUGGGCCAGGCCUGCUCUGCCAGAUUUUCGCUGCAUUCUCCAGACCCGGAAAGGGCCACUUGCCAGUCGUUGCAAAAUUGAGGCCGGAGUCUCUGCCUUGAAGUAUCUGGGGGCGCUGCUGCCAGGUGCCAGCGAGGGGAGGGGGCAGCUGCCCAAGGGCUUUGCGUCCACUGGGGGGUAUAAAGUUGGACAACUGCUUUGGGAGAAAGGGGUCAACACAAUGUAUCUUCUAAAAGCAAGGCAUUCAUCUGGUAACAAAAUAAAUCUGUUGAAGCCAAACAGGAGACAGGAAUUCUGCAGACACUGCACUGUAUCCCAAAGCUCAGAAGGGAAUUGCUGGGGGGAGCACGGUGGGAGGACGCUUUCAACAGCUAACGGAAUUAUAAACCUAUUAUGUAUUCAAGUCGAACAAAAGCUCUUUGCUCUCCCUACCGAAAUUUGUUUUUACAAAAAUCACGUUCCCCUCCUAAAUCUUUCCUGGCUAUCUGAUGAGCGCAGCCAAGCAAAGGCCUUCACGAGCAAAGCACCCCUUCCGUGCCCACUUCUGGGAGGCACAGGAUGGAUUUGUCUCCUGCCCGUAAAAUGUCACUCAGGCCCAACCACCUCCCUGGGCAACUUCUGAGUGCCCGGGAGCCAUGGAAUGAGCUCGUCUUGCCUUGAGUAAGGUGCCGGAACCUGAGGUCCCAGGAAGGUUCAGAAUUGGGACUUCCUGCCAGCCCUGUCCUGCCAGCUCUUGGGUGGCUCUGGUACCCCGGGCGACUCUGAGAAUCCCUGGUCAGACACAUGCAUGGGGGAUGGGCUCGAGCUCCUGAAGGAUUGACCUGGGCAACCUUCCAGAGCCACCUGGGAAUCAAGUGGGACUUCCCCUCGACGAUGAGGCAGGUAACUAACACCUGCUGCAGACUUUGUACAGAUUGAUACAUUUGAUAAAGACAGUCUGGCCCCAGCCCCUGGAGCUCGCCUCGCUGUGGUGAGGUCAGUAUAGCCCGGCACUGCAUCCCCCUGCAGGCCCAGGUUACCUGCUUGGUGUGGAGACCCCUCCCCAGCUGCAGCCAGACUUUGUCCUAAGGCGAAGUGCCACGUACAGCCAGCAGGGGGCGCCAGGAGCAAGGCGGAGGCUCAGCUAAAGCUGCGUGCUGGGUGCUGGGUGCUGCGGGGCACUGUUCAGUUCACAGCCCACCAGUGGCACGGUGCACACAGGAGAGCCUCCCAGCCCUGAGGCAGGGCCCCACACAGGAGGAGGCAGCGUCCUUGUGUCUGCAUGUUUUGGCCUGGCCGUGCAUGGGGGCGGGGCAGCUCACAGCUUGCUGGGUGAGGACCUUCCUGCCUCUAGGAGCAAGGUCCUUGCCCUGUCCUCUGCAGCCCUGGGGUCCUACCUGCCUCCCCUACAGCCAUGUGGGACCAGGCAGCCUCUCUGCAGCCAUCGGUGACUGCGAGUCACCAGAGCGUGCAUCCGCCGGGUGCCUGCACUCAGCGAAAGCUCCACAGCUCCAGGACUGGGAUCAUCUCUACCUGAGGCUCUGGGAGAGAAGAGAAGGAGGCCAGCUCCUAACUGCUCUGCUCCUAGGCUGGCUCCAACAUGGAUGGAGACAAACUCAGAAGGAACUGCAGACAGAGGCAUCCCUGCUGGACUCAAGCAACAGGGCCCCCCACUUCAACUGUACCCAACCACGGGUGGGAUCCAGUGCCAAGGACAGUGUGUCCCAGGGUCUGUGACCACACAAAUGGGAACUGCUUAUGAAACCCCAGCCCGACCUCACCGCGGAAUGGCAGUGUGGAAAGGGUGGAGGCUCUGCAGGCAGACACAGAACACAGAUCUAUGGAGUGUGUGUUAAAGGGUCCAGAGACACCCAGCAAAAUACCAACUGUGUCAGUCCACGUCAACAGAGAACACAGGUGCAAAGGGGCGGGGGCUGUUUCACACUCACUCUCUUUAUUCCUUCUACCAGCCCCAAGAGAAAAAGCAGCUGGGAAAAAGGCUCAGAAUCAGUGAUUUCCCCAAGAUCACACAGCACAAGACCAAAGUCUGGGCCAGCCAGCCUUAAAACCUGUGCGCCAGACUGCUCUCACCUGUUCCCGAAUGCUAACAGUGGACACGUCUGAGUGAUGGGGUUACCACGUUUGUUUUGUUUUCCAUGCUUACCUCAUCUUCUUUAAAAAGCAGACAGAAACACAGAGACAAUCCCACACCUGCCCAUGGAAUGAUGAAUGAAUCACAGCAUGACCAGGAGCAUGGCCCCGUCGGGGGUGGGUGAGGGGCGACAGCACGUGGGACUCUGACAGACCCAGGGUGAGAUGGCUCGGGUGAGGUCUGCAUGGCAGGCAUAGCCCCUGCCAGGCCUGGAAUGUUCCACAUCGCCCCCAGGUGAGGUUACAACGCAUCAGCUGGGCUCUCAAGAUUCACAGACAUCGCAGCGUAAAAAACAAGAAAAACUGCCAGAGCCCCUCCCAGUGGUGGCCACGCUGUCCCACGGGAGCACUCCUGUGUCCCCCUCUGGGUCGGAUUUCACUUGCUGGGUGAUUUUCCCAGAGGGAAAUCUCCACGUUGUACAGCACUGCAGAGCUGCGGACUGGGAGGCACCCGGGGACGGGACCUCAUGCCCUGUGAAGGACACACAGGCAAAGCCUCGAGGGGCCGCCGGUGGGGCCUGGGGGACGUACUCACCCUUCCCGAUCUGGACGAAGCCCAGCAGGAUGAUCAGGGCCAGGGCCAGGAGCUUGGCGGCGGCAAAGGCAUCCUGGACCCGGGUGGCGGCCUUCACGCUGUAGCAGUUCACGGCCGUGAGCAGCACUGUGGAGACAGAGGGCAGCGGUGAGUUCCACGGGCAGACAGACGCCAGCUCAGGGGUAGGCUGGGAGGUGACGACCCCACCCCCACCCCAGGGCCAGGUCCACCAGAAAAACAAGCUCCUUAAACAGCUCCAGUCCCCUGCCAGCCCUUAGGGCACGUUCUGACUUUCUGAGACCUGUUUUGAUAAACUUCGCAGUCCUUUCAGGUCUAAGGGCUGGAUCCCAGGUGCCCCUUAAGAUCUGCAAGGGACCUUUCCUCACCCCCCACCACACCAGGCCAUGGAGUCCCACCUGUAGUCAGGACUUCAAGUGGGGUCACUGCCUCCAGAGACCCAGGUGAGCAAGGUGACCCUGCCACUUGGAAGGCGCCCAUUACACCUUUUUGUACCUACUCAGCACCCUGACCUGACUGUGAGACCCACGCACAGCCCGACUGCCGGACUCCAUGAGGGCGGGGCCCUUUCCUCAAAGAGGAUCUUCUGUGGAUUCCAACAGAAGUGGGGUGUCCCGCUUUCCCGGAACUACCUGGCCAGUCACCUGGGGACGGCAGCCUGGGAGGGGCCACAGGGGCCUGUGGUGAGCAGAGCAGACCCUGCUGCCCUGCUGCUUUGGGGGCAUACGAUGAAACCCAAAAUAGCACCGUGUGCUUCAGAAGCCUGAGUGACCCCACACAGAUGGCCAGAACGCCUGCCCCAGGAGGCGCUGAGAUGUGGGGUCAGGCACGCUCAGACAGGUCUCCAGACACCAGCACGUCCUCCUGGGCCCUGUAAGGCACCCAGCUCUGAGCCUCUGUGUGUGUGUGUGUGUGUGUGUGUGUGUGUGUGUGUGUGUGUGUGUGUUGGGGGUUCUGUUGCAAUAUAUAGGCACGCUGAGCCACUGUGUGUGUGUGCGUGUGUGUGUGUGUUUUGGGGGGUUCUGUUGCAAUAUGUGCGCACGCUGAGCCACUAUUCAGGGAUCUGUGAGCUGGUGGGGAAACAGCCACCCCCACAACUUAAAAUGAAGUAAAAUCAUAUUAAUCCCGAGGCACUGACUCCACGACACCCCUCACUGCCUGCUGCACUACCCUUCACUCCUCUGCUCACGAGGUUAUCUGUCGCUGUCAGCAGCUUGAAAUCUGCCAGUGGGAACGUCUACACCCCAGAAGUGGGCAAAGGCCCAGCACGGGCCACCCACACAGCUCAGAUCUCACAGCCCUCCCGGCACCGCACCACUAAGACUGCAGGAAGGUGAGAGCAUCAGAAAGGCCGUGGGCUCCUCUUCUCUCUUUCCCCUUGGGAGUAACGCUCAGAAAGGUCUGGCCAGCCAAGGCCUUGAGGACUCCAGUGGCUUUUCCCCAGCUGAACAAAUCCUGUGGAAUCUUACAAUGUAAGCAACAGACCCCGAGGAAAGACAUCCAUGCUAAUUAACUAAUGACACCGGAAACGUCCUGAGGUGCGGGACGGGCUGCCGCCUGCCUAUCUCUCAGAAAUUAACCACCCCGCUACAAUUCUGUGGAUGCCAGAGCGGAGACGGCUACUACACACCAGGAAAGUCUGGUUGAAAAAUGUCUGAAAGUCAGUGUUUUCGCUGCUAUUCCUAAAAUAAAAUACUUGAAAUUCCGGAACUUCCACUCCUCACCCAAACUGAAGAGGUGAUUCUUCACCUCUUCCCAGGGCUCCCAGGGACAUGGAGAUGUUACCAGUCCAGAGCUCUCCAGUCCAACCCUCAGGGCUCAGCAGGGUCAGGUCAGUGGGUCUAGGCAGCUCCUUGUCCGCUGCACAGGGCAAGGGGCAGGUCCUGGCUUGCCAGUCCCAUUUCCUUAUGGUUGGGGGGAGCACGACCAUAAAAGAAACUGAGCCUCGGGGACCUAGCCGGCUUCUGGAGAGCUUUCUGGAUUCGCAAGAGGCCGGCUGAUUGCAUCACUCGCUCAUUCAUGCCCGGAGGGAGGCGGGGAGUGGGUGUGGCCAAGCCGCACUCGAGGCUGCCUCUCCCCAAAAGGGAGAGAGGCACGCUGCCACCACUGAACUCCAGACACCAGACAGGCGCUGCGGAGACACUGAGCACUGCCCUCGCGGCUGUCACGUCUGCGGCUGUCACGUCUGCUAGGGGGUUGGGGGGUCCAGGAAGGGCAGCGAGUUGCCCAGAAUUGCCCAACCACGGGCUGUCCUGCCACACUGACGUGGUGCUGGGUAAUGACGCCAUCAGGGCUGUCACUGUGGGUGGGACAGAGGCCAGGACCCCCCCGCCCCCCCCCCCACCGCCAGCCUGACCCUGCCUGCCCAGUUCCAACCCAGCCGCUCCCCAACCAAAAACAGUCUGGAGGGGCUGACGGGUGCCACCGGGAGGGUUCACCAGAUCAUCUCCUGACGUUGGAAAUAACCACAGGACAGACAGGCGGGGGCCGGGUCUUGAAGUCAGGUGGGGAGCAAAAUGGCCAUAGAACAAAGGGGACCUUAUAUUUAUUCCUUUUAUAACAAGAACAUAAAUUUUCAUGUUCACUGACUUUGGGUGAUGAGU
rnacentral:lncRNA from 1 species